rnacentral:lncRNA from 1 species
GUUUUAAAAGUGUGUAUGGCAUUCUACGUCAAUUAAUAGUUUUUAUUUGGUAUUAAAAUUUAUAAACAUGGUUAUGUUGAUAACAAAAGUAACAAGAACAUUUGAUUUGGAAUGAUCAGUUUUGUUGUAGUCUCUGUCUUACUUUUUACAAAUGCAGUAUGCCGUUUAGCGGAUGGUCCUGGUGUUUGCAAAAGACAGGAAAUGAUCACAAUGUAAG